rnacentral:rRNA from 1 species
CGCGUAGGCGGUUUACACAGUCAGAUGUGAAAUCCCCGAGCUUAACUUGGGAAUUGCAUUCGAUACUGGGAAGCUAGAGUAUGGGAGAGGAUGGUAGAAUUCCAGGUGUAGCGGUGAAAUGCGUAGAGAUCUGGAGGAAUACCGAUGGCGAAGGCAGCCAUCUGGCCUAAUACUGACGCUGAGGUACGAAAGCAUGGGGAGCAAACAGGAUUAGAUACCCCCGUA